UUCCCUGUAGGAUAAAAUUGAAUCCUUUACAUUUAGGAUGUAAAAAUAAAUUGAGGUUUUGGGGGAG
rnacentral:tRNA from 1 species